ensembl:antisense
AGUCGGUUAGAGGCUCAUGGGACUCUGUACUGCUUGAUCCUAGAUCCUGCCUUUCCAAGCAGAACUCAGAGACUUAUUUCGAGUGUUACCAAGCUCACAGGACUUUUCAAACGACCCAUGAAGUCCUGCGCCUUCUUACGAAACUCCUCGUUUUUGGUGGGGGCAGCCUUGCUCUCCCUGUUCUUAGUGAUACUAAAGCUUCCACGCAAAGAGGAAAGGCCAGCUCUGACGAACCAGAAUUUAGGAGGCAAGGAGGUGACCAGUUGUUUCCUCUUUUACAAGGACGCUUUGGGGAUGAGUCAGGAGGGAGCUCCAGGGAGUUCAUGGAUUCCAGAUGUUUCUAACUAGCCCCGCCUGUGGGGUUGUCUGUGGAUCUGAGGCACACAGCAGCUUUUAGAAGGUUGGCUGUCCUCUGCUUCAGGACAGUGCUGGAAGACAAAUAAUACACUCUGACUACUUGCUGUGUUGUGUCCCGCACAAGUACAGAUUUGUCUUUUAAGUCCUGAAACUGAUGAGGGCUCCCAGGUGAUGGGGUGAAUUGUGGGCCUGGGGACACACCAUUGAGCACUCUUCUUUUACUGGUGGGCCAGCCCAGCCACACUUGUUAAUAGUCCCAAGUUCUUGAACCCUUAUAUUGCCUGCCUGUCUGCCUUCCCACCUCCCUCUCUCCCUUCCUCCUUCCUGUUUUUUGAUACGAUGUCUCAUAUAGCCUAGGCUUCAAACUUGCUAUGUAGUUGAAGAUAAGUUGAACUUCUGAUCCUCCUGCCCCUAACUUCUAACAACUAGAUUUUGAGGGGUGAACUGUUAUGCGUGGCCCAAAGCCUUGAAACUGGAGUUACAGAUGGUUUUGAGUCGUCAUGUGGAUGCUAGAAAUCAAACCUGGUUCACUAAGGAGCGGGCUCUUAUCUUAGCCUCACGACUUGUUACCAGUCACUUUUUGUCUUAGUGAUCUGUCUUAAUUUCCUUUUCUGUAGCUGUGAUAAAAUACCAAGACAGAAGCAGGUUAAGCAGAAAGUGUUUGGGCUGCAGUUUGAGGUUGCAGUUUAGCAUGACAGGGAAGUAACAGCAGUAGGCUUGAAGCAACUGGCCCACAUGGCAGGUCAAGGAUUAGAGAGUGAUGAAUGCUGGUCCUCAGAUAACCCCUUCUAUACUCCAGGAUCCGAGCUAGGCCAGAGAAUGGUGCCACACAGAAGGAGUUGGUCUUUCCAUCUCAAUUAACCUAAUCAAGAUAAGCCCUCCCGUACACCCAGAGGUUCACCUCAUGGGUGAUUUUAGAUCUUAUCAAAUUGCAAAUUGAGAUGAACAGUCCCGAUCCCUGACCAAAGCAACUUAAAGAAGGAAGAAAUAUUUGGCUUAUAGUUCAAGGGAAUACAGUACCGUCAUGAGGCAGCAGGCAUGGCAGUAGGGCUAGGAGGCAGCUGACCACACAGACCCUACAGUCAGGAAGCAGAGAGCGAGAACGAGUGCCAGAGGCAGUCAUGAGGUUAAUUGCACAAAUUAGCUCCUCUAUUCACAUUGAUCCAAACAAAACUGCAAUCUCCUGGACAGAGGGGUGUGGACAAUGAUUUUGGUGUGGAUAGUGGAAGGCAGGAUUCUGCUUCCAGAGCAAUUCUGCAUGUCAGAAAGUUGGAGCAGCAGCAGAGGUAGCAGCUUCAGCAGAGGUAGCAGCUGCGGCAGUGGCAGCAGUGGCAGCAGCAGCAGCACUGGCACCGGCACUGGCAGAGGCAGCGGCAGUGGCAGCAGUGGCAGCAGUGGCGGCAGCAGCAGCAGCACAAGGAGCUGCUAGGCUAGAAGCACAGAGCUGAGCUGAGGCCAUGCAUCUUUUCACACUCACUGCAGGGCUGGGCCUGCUCUCUGUGGUUCGAGCCACGAUGCCUCCUCUGACUCCUGCCAGUCCUGAGGAGGUGAUGGCCCUGGGGAGGGAGGACUGAGGGUAGCAACUGGCUUCCAAGCUCAGACCUUGGACUGGGUGUGUCUCAGGCCUGCUGAUGUAAGCCACAGGUGAUGUUGAAAAAAAUACCUCUCUUACGUGCUUGGUGGGAUCUUCUCAGGUGGGAGUGGGGCUUGAGCAGGUGUUCCAGGCCAUGGUCAUGUCUUUCUUCUCACUGUGUGCACUUAGAGACUAAGAGGCUGCUGGGGGACAGGGGAGGCUUGCUAGAUGGACGCUGUCCUGGCUCUAGCUGGACUCCCAAGAAUAGCCUGCCUUCCUUCCUUCCUUCCUUCCUUCCUUCCUUCCUUCCUUCCUUCCUUUCUCUCAGUGUGUGUGUGUGUGUGUGUGUGUGUGUGUGUGUGCUUCAGAGACACUUCUUAUAUUCUUCCAAUGAGUUGAUUUCAGAUUUCAUCCUGGGUAAGGCCCCUGUGACUGUUGUGUAUCUGGGAGACAGAGCCAACUUCCUAAUGAUUUCAGGAGAAACUGAGAUGAAGCAGACCGUGGUCAGUCGGUACAGUCAUGGUUCUCUCAGGUCACCUCCUCAGCCAUGUCCAUUCUGCCCUGUCCUCCGGCUCAGCUCCCUGAAGUGAAAGGUCAACCUGUCCUCCAGAUCACCUUUCUCAGUUCCCUCUGGAUGCCUGUGCAGGGUCUGUGGUCAGGGCUCUUCCCAGGAAGUGUUUCUCCUAGGAGGCCUGUGCCCUGUCUGCUUGGUUCUACCUACUGCUGCUGUUGGUGAGAGACAGCCAUGGUCAGGACUCCUCCUGACAUCCCGGCAUCCCGGACCCUUCCAUCUUGCACUGAGAUCUGACUGCAUUCUCCUCCUGCCUCUCACCCACCGUCUUCCAGAUUCCCUUCUCCCUGCAACUGUGUGCACUUGUGGCCUCCAACUGCAGAUCUUGGGAAAGUGGUACAUAAGGUGCUGGGCAGGAGACUUGCCUAUUCCUGAGUCGAGAUGGAAAGACCCGCUGCCUCCCUUCACCUUUGAGAGAAACAGUCUUGAUGAGUUGGAGUUCAGGAUGAACCUGACGUGAGUGGUCUCUGCGGAGGUAAUGUCUGCUGCUGCUGCCAAACAGUUCUAAGUGUGACUAAGCACAGACUGCCUCACCUCUAGUAGUCACUGAGGAAUGUGGCAUCUUCUGUGUUGCCUGGGCAACACACCAGGUGACCUCUUCAUGAGGUCAGAGAUCUAACUUGCUGUGGUCUAUGCCCAUGCUGAAUAGGGUGAGAGGAUCUCUUGCACAGGAUUGCUUGCUUCAGGAGAGGCCAGCAUGGGUCCCAGAAAUAAGAAUGGGGAAGAACUAGGUGCCCUGGGGAGAGCCAUACUUGGACCCUGUGUUCUAGGAAACCCAUUGGCUGUAUUCAGUACAAGCUGCCUCUGUAUGAGGGAGAGGACCCUGGUAUGUUCCUCACAGGGUGGAGGCAUGUCAUCUACAUCCAUUUCCUGCCUGGGAAGGAGUCUGCCAUUGCCUACUUCAGGGGCAACAUGAACUAUCAGUACUACCAGCUGCUGCUGCUCAUGGGCCGCACCCUGAGACCUAACCCAGAUGCUGAGAGGAUCUUCAAGGAGUCUGUGAUGAGUAUAAUGCCCCAAACUGGAAGGAUAAUUACCCCUCCCCAUGCUGGUAGGGAAGGAUUUCCUCGUCCCCUCUCUCCUUUCUCCUCACUCAGGCUUGUGCUCUGGAUAUUUCUCUUAUACACAAGAAACCACAUGAACAGCAUCAUGUUUCAUAGCUCAUCUAAGUUUUCUGGUUUUUGUCCCUCUACAGAAGCCUGUGUGUUUGUCCUAGACCCCCAGUGCACUAAGGGAGUGCUGCAGUAUCCAUGCAGAAAGCAGGAGAUGGGACCUGGCUGACCCAGAGGUGCAGACACCCACAUGUAGAACUCUCAGUGUCAAAGAGCACAGGGCCUAACACCCACUCCUCCCCCAAGUCUGCAUUCAAUAAAUUCGGUGGAUAUCACUCAA